rnacentral:rRNA from 1 species
AAAGAAACUAACAAGGAUUCCCUCAGUAACGGCGAGUGAAGCGGGAAGAGCUCAAAUUUGAAAUCUCCGGUGCUUGCACCGGCGAGUUGUAGUUGCGAGAAGCACUUUCUAGGUGGAUCGGCGGUGCCUAAGUUGCUUGGAACAGCACGUCGCAGAGGGUGACAACCCCGUCUGUGGCGUCGCCGGCCGCUGACGAUGUGCUUUCGAAGAGUCGGGUUGUUUGGGAAUGCAGCCCAAAAUGGGUGGUAAACUCCAUCUAAAGCUAAAUACUGGCGUGAGACCGAUAGCGAACAAGUACCGUGAGGGAAAGAUGAAAAGAACUUUGAAAAGAGAGUUAAAAAGUACGUGAAACCGUCGGAAGGGAAACGAAUGGACUCAGCAAUGCGCCCUCUGAGAUUCAGCCGCGUGGGUGGCGUCGGCGCGGGGUUUGCGGAUCUGAAUGGACCGCGGCCCGGCGCUCGCUUCUUCCCGCCGUCGCACUUCUCUAGGGCGCGCGUCAACGUGGGUUGGGACUGGGUCUGAAAGGUGCCGGGAAGGUAGGUGUGGGCCUUCGGGUCCGUUCUGUUACAGCCCGGUUCUCUCAUGGCUCGGGCCCGACCGAGGAGCAGACAGGGCAUGCCUCCUGUGGCUAGGGUCCCGUCCUUCCGGCCGGCUGUCCAGUGUGGUGGACUGCUUGCAG